UAGGCAUCAGAACAAAUAGUAUGUAUGCUCUU
rnacentral:piRNA from 1 species